rnacentral:rRNA from 1 species
GUCCGUUUGAGGGUAUAAACGGUCUGGCCUGCUCACUGAUAAUUUUAUUUAAGAGCCGCGGUAUUUUGACCGUGCAAAGGUAGCAUAAUCAUUAGAGGCUUAAUUGGAAUCUAGUAUGAAGGGUCGGACAAGGUAAAGACUGUCUUUACAAUACAAGUUGAAAUUUACUUUUAAGUGAAAAGGCUUAAAUUUUUCAAAGGGACGAUAAGACCCUAUAAAGCUUUAUAAAUUAUUUAGAUGUGGCUAACUUAGUAAAUAAAAGCUAAAUUUAAUAUUUUUAUUUUGUUGGGGUGAUGUGAGUAUAAAUAAAUUGUAACUGCUUAAUUAAAAUACAAAUGUCUAUGAAUUAUUAGUAAAUGAUCCUUUAUAAAGAUUAUAAAACUAAGUUACUUUAGGGAUAACAGCGUUAUUUCUCUUGAGAGCUCAUAUCGAAAGAGAAGAUUGCGACCUCGAUGUUGAAUUAAAAUAUCUAUAUAAUGCAGCAGUUAUAAAAGAGGGUCUGUUCGACCUUUAAAUUUUU